rnacentral:rRNA from 1 species
UCUGGUGGCGAUGCGUCUAUGGGUAACACCCGUUCCCAUACCGAACACGAUGGUUAAGGCAUAGACGGCCGAUGGUACUUGGUUGGUAACGACCCGGGAGAGUAGGUGGCUGCCAGAU